GAUGAACGCUAGCGGCAGGCCUAAUACAUGCAAGUCGAACGGGAUCCAGAUCAAAGCUUGCUUUGGUUUGGUGAGAGUGGCGCACGGGUGCGUAACGCGUGAGCAACCUACCCUUGUCAGGGGGAUAGCCCGGCGAAAGUCGGAUUAAUACCGCAUGACAUCAUUGAGAGGCAUCUUUCGAUGAUCAAAGAUUUAUCGGACAAGGAUGGGCUCGCGUGACAUUAGCUAGUUGGUAAGGUAACGGCUUACCAAGGCUACGAUGUCUAGGGGCUCUGAGAGGAGAAUCCCCCCCACUGGUACUGAGACACGGACCAGACUCCUACGGGAGGCAGCAGUAAGGAAUAUUGGUCAAUGGACGGAAGUCUGAACCAGCCAUGCCGCGUGCAGGAAGACGGCCCUAUGGGUUGUAAACUGCUUUUAUACGGGAACAAACGUCGGUACGUGUACCGGUCUGAGUGUACCGUAAGAAUAAGGAUCGGCUAACUCCGUG
rnacentral:rRNA from 1 species